AGUCACUGACAUUAGAUACCCCUGUAGUCCCAGCCGUAAACAAUGUGCGUUAGGUGUGUCGGUAACCACGUGUUACUGAUGCGCCGAAGAAAAAUCGUGAAACGUACCACCUGGGAAGUACGGUCGCAAGGCUGAAACUUAAAGGAAUUGGCGGGGAGCACCACAACAGGUGGAGCCUGCGGUUUAAUUGGAUUCAACGCCGGACAUCUCACCGGAUAAGACAGCUGAAUGAUUGUCAAUCUGAAGGUUUUACAUGACUAGCUG
rnacentral:rRNA from 1 species